rnacentral:rRNA from 1 species
GACGGGGGGUCCAAGCGUUGUUCGGAAUCAUUGGGCGUAAAGGGAGCGUAGGCGGCCAUGUAAGUCAGGAGUGAAAGCCCUGGGCUCAACCCAGGAAGUGCUCUUGAUACUGCUUGGCUUGAAUGUGGGAGAGGAUAGUGGAAUUCCAGGUGUAGUGGUGAAAUACGUAGAUAUCUGGAGGAACACCGGUGGCGAAGGCGGCUAUCUGGCCCAACAUUGACGCUGAGGCUCGAAAGCGUGGGGAUCAAACAGG